rnacentral:rRNA from 1 species
AACGAACGCUGGCGGCAGGCCUAACACAUGCAAGUCGAGCGAAUGUAGCAAUACAUGAGCGGCGCACGGGAGAGUAACACGUGGGAACCUACCUUUUGGUUCGGAAUAACGUCGGGAAACUGACGCUAAUACCGGAUACGCCCUAUGGGGGAAAGAUUUAUCGCCAUUAGAUGGGCCCGCGUUAGAUUAGCUAGUUGGUGAGGUAACGGCCCACCAAGGCUACGAUCUAUAGCUGGUCUGAGAGGAUGACCAGCCUCACUGGGACUGAGACACGGCCCAGACUCCUACGGGAGGCAG